GGGGAAAGAGGUUACACAGAGCGGGCGACCGCGACGCCGAGCAGUCCAGACUCGAUGUUUCUUCACAGCUGCCCCGCAUUCCGCCCCCAUUACGCAAAACACACAUUAGGCCCUGGCAAGACUCCCGUCACUGCUCAAACCGCAUUCACUCCUGCAUCUCGGCGAGGACAGUAGAGACGUCGAGAUGAAAGCCGGAGACGACAGCUGGAGACGGUGUCAUUUAGAAAAUCUCUCGCUGUGCCAAUCCAUCAUUAGAGUUUGAUUAUUCACCGGCGCUUUGAGGACUGGAGGGAAGACAUAAUGUCACAGUGCACGCCGGACAAACACAACAACACAACAAACACAAACCCAGGGCACCGCAGCUACAAGAAAUUCAACCGAAAAAGUAAAACUUUUCAUCCCUGAUCUUCAACAGUGUACGGAUAUCGUGAUCCGUGGAACUCCAUAUAAUAAUAAUAACAAUAAUAGCGUGUGAGCUAUUUUCCUGGAUGCCUUUGGAUCAUUAAUUUAUAUUAAUAUUCAGUGAGUCGAGACACAGACCUUGGUACCUGGGGAGACUCCUCGGUUUCGUAAAGCUGGAGAUGUGGUUUUGCUAAAUAAAAACAGAAUCUGGUAGUAUAAGGGUGCUCUUGUGAAAAUAAUGAUCUGACAGUCUGCGGCUUUGUAUCAUGAUCCCUCUGUAAUCCACUGAAAACAUCAUUAUGAGAACUGGUGGAUCCACCGGAAGAUCAUUUAGUCCCAUUUAAAAUGGGAUUUUUGGGGUGCGUGCUGGUUUCUUACUCCGCUCUGGUGUAGGAAUUCUUAAGUUUUGAAAGAAGAAAAUGUACGUAUAGUUAGCGUAUUUUGUCAAUGACUUCUUGUACCAAGAAACUGUGAGAACGUAUUAGUGAGAGCGUCGUCUACUAAAAGUUAGCAAACGGUAGAAGUAUUUCAUGCUUUCCGAUUCAGUAAUAAAAAUCAGAUAAGCACGAAAAGGCGCACUCAUUAACACUAUGUAAAUAACGCACUUUGUCCCCUACAGUAUUAGCAAUUCAAACACCUUCUGCGUCUUGAAUGUUAAAAAAAAAUGACAGGAGGCAGUGGUGUCAAGAAAACAGCGGGCGCCCCUUUGAGCUAACAAGUUAACAAACGUUUUGGCGCUCUGCAUCUCUUUCAUGUUGGCUAACGCGAGGAAAGAUCACAGACUGGGCUCCUGCCACGAUACUACCUCCUACAGCCCGGUUAAACUCCACCGAGAUCGCAAAGAGAAUAGGAAAUGAAUCAAAGCAGACAAGCUUUUGACAGCUACGUGUCAAUUAUGAUAAAGACAGAAAAUAGUCUAUGGCCUUUCACACAAGUCAUAUUAAAACUAUUCUGCUCCUACCGCGGCUCCCACACAAGAGAGAGAAACCCCAGAAAGAUAAGAGAAUUCACGAUUUUUCCUGACUAGCUAUGUGAUGACUGUUUACAAUUUUCAGUCCUUGUCUCCGAUUCUAGAUCAAACACUACCGACUUCUUUUUCCAGUUCUUGAAGUAUUGAAUUAUCAUGAAACAUUGUGAACGUUUUCUGACCAAGAGAAUGUAAAAGCAGAACAUGAAAAGGUUCGCAGUUACUUUCCAAAUGCGAAACGAAGACACGCUAAAUAAAAUAAUGAUCAACUGUAUGAUUUGAGCCGCAACAUAUUUAGAACUGAUACCUAUUAUUAAACUCCCGUUGCCCGUCAAAUUACCAUCACUAAAAACACGCUUAAAAAAGGGGCGCACUUCUCAAGUAAACAUCUCUAUUGACAUAUGCACAGAUCAUCAAUCUACUGCUCAUAAACUAUUGCAAAACGGAACCUGGUAUCAUUUCAGUUCAAGUACAGCAAGGUGAAAAGGGAAAGGUACAAUUUCUUACUUGUGCUCAUAUGAUUUAGUUCAGAUAGACAUGAAUACAGAACAACCCAGCACUACCCAGGGUGGAGGUGUCCGAGCUGUAGUCUGAUCACUUCAGAGACACGGGUUUCUUGGUGAUCUUUAAGGACGGCCUUGUCAGUUUACCGCAGGGUUCUGCAUUCCAGCGGCCAGACUCCAGGAUCCUGAAGGCCAGUGGUUCUGAAUAACGAACACUUGGCUCUUGGAAAAGGAUAUUAUUGGAUCUUAAAUCAACCUGCCGAUAUUUCACAGCUCAGCCUUCACAGCCUAAGCGUGAGUCACAUCCCCCCCUCACCAGGCGUGCGAGGUACUGUCUCGGGACAUCCUGUACGAACGCCAUGCUCAGUGACGAUUUAUUUCCAGCCUGGCAGCAGCUUUCUUACGGUUCAUCGUCUAAACAGGAAUUUAGGGAAGGACUGCACAGAACUGACUCGAUGUACUGGAUCAAUUUGCAGUAAAUUGUAUUAACAUUUAAUGUAUUAACAUUUAUAGGAAACGUUUUACAUGACCAGAAUAAGAUUUUAUGAUCCUGUAUGGUUUGAGCUGAAAAUAACUGAAGAAAACUGAACUCAAGACUGAAAAGCUUAAGUACCAGGAAGAGGAAAGGUUUCAAUUCCACCAACAACCACCUGUCCCUCAGGCAGUACCCAGCAGAGCCUGGCAGUGUUCAGCCAGUUGAACAUGAUUACCCAGUCAGGCCUUGAAACAAACGCAUUCAUAAUGAUCCAAAAUCGGCUAUCAAUAAAAAAAAGACUGCCUCUUAACAAGCACUGCUCGGCAUAAAAUCCAAAAAGUAUUUUUAUAAAGAGGGCUGAAUAAACCUAGAUCUCAUCAGCGCCAGUGUAAAUGAAUUUCAGUUCAAAACCCCACACCCAGAUCUGAACACAGCACAGAAGAGUCACCCUGUAGCAGUGCUUUCUCAAGAAAGCACUUAAAGAGCCCAACACACUCCUAACGCAUACAUACAAACAGGAUACAUGCUGUUGAAAAAAAGGAGGCAAAAAGAAGAGGGAGAACUGAGAACUUACUAACUUUCCUCAGUGCAAUAUAUUUAGAAAAACAAUACCGGUAGGUUUGCAACCCAUGAAACUGAAGUUUGCUCAGGGCGAACAAAGAUCCACCUCGGUUCAACCCGAUUCAAGCAUUCGAAAUCCCCAAGGGAGUGGUCAAAGCCUUCCCACUGGACUUCCGCAGAGCCCACAGCCAAACACGAACACAGGAAAAUGGGCACUAAAGGGCAGAGCAGAGUGAAACCUCAGAAGAGGAGACCAAUUAUCUUUGCCACAGAGGGUGGAAAGGAUCUAGAAGCUCUUCAGCCAUGCUGUUGAAGCCGAUAUCCUGGCUGCCUUCAGGACAGGGCUAGAAGAGAUGAAAGUGCUUUAGCCACUAGCUAUCUGCUGACUAGAUGAGGUGAAGGGCCUACCCUCAUUUGUAACAUGCCUUAUGUUUUGCGAUCUACAUGCCAGGAGUCACUACAAAGUCUUGUUUGCUGCUUGGAAAUGAAAACCAUGACAGAUGCGAGCCAGCUUCUCUGACAUGAACACCAACACUUGCUGUACAGGGAGUAGUCAAGAAUAUUCAACUCGCCCAAUUACAUUCACAAUCCUUUAUUCAUUUCUUACAAAAAUAGGAGAAUGAUCACAUCCGCAACAGAGCUAUACAAGAAAGCUUAUUUAAUUUCAACCACCUUAUUGUACUUUUUGAGGAUCUCAGAACACAGUAGGAAAAUGUUACCAAGCGCAACUAUAUUUUACAGACAUCCUCUGUUUCUCUAUGCUGCAGGAGUUGUUGCCUUGUACUGCUGCAUUGUUGAUUGUAUUUUACCUCUGCUUCUGCAGGAAGAGUUCUGAGACUUCGAUUGUAAAAGAAUC